UACGUAGGUGUCGAGCGUUGUCCGGAUUUAUUGGGCGUAAGCGCCCGCAGGCGGCUUGGCAAGUUCGAGGUGAAAUCUCCCGGCUCAACUGGGAGGGUGCCUCGGAACUGCCAGGCUUGAGGCAGGGAGAGGGAUGUGGAAUUCCCGGUGUAGUGGUGAAAUUCGUAGAUAUUCGGAAGAACACCAGUGGCGAAGGCGGCUCACUGGACUGGUAUUGACGCUGAGGUGCGAAAGCGUGGGAGCAAACAGGG
rnacentral:rRNA from 1 species